rnacentral:lncRNA from 1 species
GAGGGGACGGAACUGCGGUGGGGAGGGGAGAGAAAGAAAAUAUUUCAGCUGUGAAAAGGCUUUAAUUUGCUCACUAGUUCCCCUUCUACGAAGAAUAGAAAAAGCAAGACCUACUUCAGGCAAAUUUAUGAUUCUAACUUUUGGCAAAUGGAGCCACUUCCAUUAAUCUUCCUGUGCAUUUGAACCUUAGCAGGACUCUAUAUAGCAGUCAGCGGCAUGGAUAACGACCCUUCUGCCUGCAAACUCGCUUUUAGAUGAGAACACAAGCUCCUAAGCCGUUAAGGGCGGUGCUACACACAGGCAUUUUGUAAAGUUGCAACAGCUAACUUGAUCUGAGUGAUAAAUCCGACCUUGGGGAGAAGACUGAGAAAAUGGAAGAAGCUUCUGCCCGAUUCUCUUUUGCCAUUGGGUGCCCAGCUGUCGGAUGCUCAGCCAUUGGGUGAUCAGCAUUUGUUGAUAAGGCAGAGAACAAAUGGUACUAAUUUCCUCAUGUUAUUUUCCUGACUGAAGAUCAGCUAUGAGAUCACCUGUCUAUCCCCUAAGACUUCCUGAUAUUUUCUGUGUUGACAUAGUGUGCAUUCUAGUUAAGAUGUGUACCUUAAGAUAGAACGUUGCUUUUAUCUCUGAGGUAUGUAGAAAAGAGCAAUUGUUUCAGACGUAUCUCUUGAGCCCAAUAAACUAGUUGAAGAAAA